rnacentral:rRNA from 1 species
CCUACGGGAGGCAGCAGUGAGGAAUAUUGGUCAAUGGACGAGAGUCUGAACCAGCCAAGUAGCGUGAAGGAUGACUGCCCUAUGGGUUGUAAACUUCUUUUAUAAAGGAAUAAAACGAGGCACGUGUGCCUUUUUGCAUGUACUUUAUGAAUAAGGAUCGGCUAACUCCGUGCCAGCAGCCGCGGUAAUACGGAGGAUCCGAGCGUUAUCCGGAUUUAUUGGGUUUAAAGGGAGCGUAGACGGGUUGUUAAGUCAGUUGUGAAAGUUUGCGGCUCAACCGUAAAAUUGCAAUUGAUACUGGCAGUCUUGAGUACAGUUGAGGUAAGCGGAAUGCGUGGUGGAGCGGUGAAAUGCAAAGAUAUCACGCAGAACUCCGAUUGCGAAGGCAGCAUACCGGCGCCCAACUGACGCUGAAGCACGAAAGCGUGGGUAUCGAACAGGAUUAGAUACCCCUGGUAGUC